CGCCUUUCGACAAAUUAGCAUGAAAGGUCCUGCCUGCCCAGUGACAGUACUUUAACGGCCGCGGUAUUAUGACCGUGCAAAGGUAGCAUAAUCACUUGUCUUUUAAAUUAGGACCAGCAUGAAUGGCAAAACGAAAGCCCAACUGUCUCCUUAAGCUAGUCAAUGAAAUUAAUCUUCCCGUGCAGAAGCGAGAAUAAAAAUAUAAGACGAGAAGACCCUGCGGAGCUUAAAAAUAAGGUUAUAUAAUAUUAUAAUAACAUUAAAUUUAGGUUGGGGCGACCAUGAGGUAAAACAUAACCCUCAAGAUAAUAACAAGAAUAACACUUCAAACAUAAUAAAGUUUAUAUAUUGACCCAAUAAUGAUCAACGAACCAAGUUACCCCAGGGAUAACAGCGCAAUCCAUUCCCAGAGCUCAUAUCGACGAAUGGGUUUACGACCUCGAUGUUGGAUCAGGACCCCCUAAUGGUGCAACAACUAUUAAAGGUUCGUUUGUUCAACGAUUAAAGUCCU
rnacentral:rRNA from 1 species